AUUGAACGCUGGCGGCAUGCUUUACACAUGCAAGUCGAACGGUAACAGGGUGCUUGCACCGCUGACGAGUGGCGAACGGGUGAGUAAUGCGUCGGAACGUGCCGAGUAGUGGGGGAUAACGCAGCGAAAGUUGUGCUAAUACCGCAUACGUACUGAGGUAGAAAGUGGGGGACCUUCGGGCCUCACGCUAUUCGAGCGGCAGACGUCUGAUUAGCUAGUAGGUGAGGUAAAGGCUCACCUAGGCGACGCCCAGUAGCGGGUCUGAGAGGAUGACCCGCCACACUGGGACUGAGACACGGCCCAGACUCCUACGGGAGGCAGCAGUGGGGAAUUUUGGACAAGGGGGGAAACCCUGAUCCAGCCAUGCCGCGUGAGUGAAGAAGGCCUUCGGGUUGUAAAGCUCUUUCGGCCGGAACGAAAUCGCACGGGUGAAUAUCCCGUGUGGAUGACGGUACCGGAAUAAGAAGCACCGGCUAACUACGUGCCAGCAGCCGCGGUAACAC
rnacentral:rRNA from 1 species